UUCCAGAUAAACCCACUGCCCUACAGCCGCGUGGUGCACACCUACCGCCUCCCCAGCUGUGGCUGCCACCCCAAGCACUCCUGGGGCGCCCUGUGCCGCAAGCUGUUCCUUGGGGAGCUCAUCUACCCCUGGAGGCAGAGAGGGGACAAGCAGGACUGAGGGAACUGCUGGCUCGCCCGGCACCACCACACGGCCACGGCCAGCCAUCUGCUCUGCCAGGGUGGCACCAGCUCAGCUGGCGCGUGUCCCGUGCUUUGUGGACGCUGCUGUGUGCUCCUGAACACCGCAGGCCCUGCUAUCACACCUUGGGCUUGGAGGUCAUUGGGAGUGAGCAGAUGUGGGGGUGGCCAGCCAGGCUGGCCGCACUCCAUCACUGGCACUGCCUGCCUUGGGACCCGCUUCCCACCUGCUGCGGUCACCAUGGUGGCGAGCACAGCAGCCCCAGGUGUCCAGAGCACUGCCCCAUGCCCACCCUGCGUACCCAGGUCCAGAGGGUCCGUCCACCACAGCAGCCCCAGGUGGAGGGCUGGUCUCCCUGGGGGCUCCCCAGUGGCUCUGCCCUGGCUGUGGGGGUGGAGGGACCUUCCCAGGAUGAACCCCCCAGUCCCAGGCACCCUCUAGCUCCCUCAGCCGAACAGCACCCUGCAUCUGGGGGAUUGAAGCAGUCGCUGACCCCCGUCCCCAGUGGGCCCGGGCCCUCACUCCCUGAACCACACGGGGUUUAUUUGCGGACGUUCCCUGCAGAGGUGGCUUUGUGAAGAAGCCAUCAGCAGGCUGUGGGCAUCGCCAGGCUGCUGUGGGGGCGGGAGCAGCCUCAGUGUCAAGGGCCCGCCCACUGACCCAGCCAUACCUAUUCGUCCACGGUGCCCCUGUAGCAGCAGGCCCUGGGGCCAAAUCUGUCUCCCUUCAUGGGCCUCCCAGGGAAGGAGGAAGCCCUGCUGUGCAGACACCUCUGUGGCCCCCCAGGGGUGUGAGCGGCCUGGGGAGGGGGCCGUGGCACUGAGGCCGAAAGUGCCUGCCAGAUGGCACGGUCUGGGUGCGGGUGUU
rnacentral:sRNA from 1 species